UGCCUAAUACAUGCAAGUCGAGCGGACAGAUGGGAGCUUGCUCCCUGAUGUUAGCGGCGGACGGGUGAGUAACACGUGGGUAACCUGCCUGUAAGACUGGGAUAACUCCGGGAAACCGGGGCUAAUACCGGAUGGUUGUUUGAACCGCAUGGUUCAAACAUAAAAGGUGGCUUCGGCUACCACUUACAGAUGGACCCGCGGCGCAUUAGCUAGUUGGUGAGGUAAUGGCUCACCAAGGCAACGAUGCGUAGCCGACCUGAGAGGGUGAUCGGCCACACUGGGACUGAGACACGGCCCAGACUCCUACGGGAGGCAGCAGUAGGGAAUCUUCCGCAAUGGACGAAAGUCUGACGGAGCAACGCCGCGUGAGUGAUGAAGGUUUUCGGAUCGUAAAGCUCUGUUGUUAGGGAAGAACAAGUACCGUUCGAAUAGGGCGGUACCUUGACGGUACCUAACCAGAAAGCCACGGCUAACUACGUGCCAGCAGCCGCGGUAAUACGUAGGUGGCAAGCGUUGUCCGGAAUUAUUGGGCGUAAAGGGCUCGCAGGCGGUUUCUUAAGUCUGAUGUGAAAGCCCCCGGCUCAACCGGGGAGGGUCAUUGGAAACUGGGGAACUUGAGUGCAGAAGAGGAGAGUGGAAUUCCACGUGUAGCGGUGAAAUGCGUAGAGAUGUGGAGGAACACCAGUGGCGAAGGCGACUCUCUGGUCUGUAACUGACGCUGAGGAGCGAAAGCGUGGGGAGCGAACAGGAUUAGAUACCCUGGUAGUCCACGCCGUAACGAUGAGUGCUAAGUGUUAGGGGGGUUUCCGCCCCUUAGUGCUGCAGCUAACGCAUUAAGCACUCCGCCUGGGGAGUACGGUCGCA
rnacentral:rRNA from 1 species